UACGAAGGGGGCUAGCGUUGUUCGGAUUUACUGGGCGUAAAGCGCACGUAGGCGGAUAUUUAAGUCAGGGGUGAAAUCCCGGGGCUCAACCCCGGAACUGCCUUUGAUACUGGGUAUCUUUGAGUCCGGAAGAGGUGAGUGGAAUUCCGAGUGUAGAGGUGAAAUUCGUAGAUAUUCGGAGGAACACCAGUGGCGAAGGCGGCUCACUGGUCCGGUACUGACGCUGAGGCGCGAAAGCGUGGGAGCAAACAGG
rnacentral:rRNA from 1 species